UUGACCUCGGAUCAGGCAGGGAUACCCGCUGAACUUAAGCAUAUCAAUAAGCGGAGGAAAAGAAACCAACAGGGAUUGCCUCAGUAACGGCGAGUGAAGCGGCAACAGCUCAAAUUUGAAAUCUGGCUCUUUUAGGGUCCGAGUUGUAAUUUGUAGAGGAUGCUUCGGCGUCGGCUCCGGUCUAAGUUCCUUGGAACAGGACGUCAUAGAGGGUGAGAAUCCCGUAUGUGAUCGGUUGCCUUGCCAUGUGAAGCUCCUUCGACGAGUCGAGUUGUUGGGAAUGCAGCUCUAAAUGGAGGUAAAUUUCUUCUAAGCUAAUACUGGC
rnacentral:rRNA from 1 species